UACGAAGGGGGCUAGCGUUGUUCGGAUUUACUGGGCGUAAAGCGCACGUAGGCGGCCGAUUAAGUCGGGGGUGAAAGCCUGUGGCUCAACCACAGAAUUGCCUCGAUACUGGUUGGCUUGAGACCGGAAGAGGACAGCGGAACUGCGAGUGUAGAGGUGAAAUUCGUAGAUAUUCGCAAGAACACCAGUGGCGAAGGCGGCUGUCUGGUCCGGUUCUGACGCUGAGGCGCGAAAGCGUGGGGAGCAAACAGG
rnacentral:rRNA from 1 species